AGCCAUGGCUGGAAAGCCCAGCUCUGCACGAAGGAGCGAUGAGCUGAAAAAUAUUUCAGGAUCUCAGUCAGUCGAUUCUUGCUACACAACAGCGGUUAACCCACCCAGCUAAGUACGAGCCUCUUAAUUUUCAAAUGAAAGUAUCAGUCAUAGCUGCAUAAAUGCAGAGACAAGAUCGGACAUGUUUGUUUUUAACUGUUCAGACACUCCGGUUCUCUCUGGUGCAAUGCAAUAAGUGUAACUUUGACACCCAAAUUAUUACCCUUCAAAGCACUUGAGAGUGCUUUUAACUUUGCACACAGCAAUUAUGGGCAAUUGUUAUUGUAAAGUGUGAAGGAAGGCAAAAAAAAAAAAAUCCAGUUGACAAACUUCUCUGAUGGAAGGAUGUGCACUCUGGGGAGGUUUAUCUAUGGACAAGCCAGUCGUUCGAGGAUCUAACUUAAAAAACCACAGCUAUUCAUCUAAACAAAUCUAAAUCCAUCACAGGAACAACAACAACAACAACUGCAUUAAACCCAGGACUUGUCAUGGAAAAACAACAACAACAACAACCACCAUCUGCCUUUUUCCUCUCUCUUGUUUCUUACACCUACCUGAAUAUUUGAAUCAGGAGCCAUUUCCCAAGAAACGACAGG